rnacentral:misc_RNA from 1 species
UCUCCGUAGGUGAACCUGCGGAGGGAUCAUUACCGAGUGAGGGCCUCCCCGGCCCGACCUCCAACCCUUUGUGAACACAACUUGUUGCUUCGGGGGCGACCCUGCCGUUUCGACGGCGAGCGCCCCCGGAGGCCUUCCAACCCUGCAUCUUUGCGUCGGAGUUUAAGUAAAUUUAAACAAAACUUUCAACAACGGAUCUCUUGGUUCUGGCAUCGAUGAAGAACGCAGC